UACGUAGGGUGCGAGCGUUGUCCGGAAUUACUGGGCGUAAAGAGCUCGUAGGUGGUUUGUCGCGUUGUUCGUGAAAACUCACGGCUUAACUGUGAGCGUGCGGGCGAUACGGGCAGACUGGAGUACUGCAGGGGAGACUGGAAUUCCUGGUGUAGCGGUGGAAUGCGCAGAUAUCAGGAGGAACACCGGUGGCGAAGGCGGGUCUCGGGGCAGUAACUGACGCUGAGGCACGAAGGCCAGGGGAGCAAACGGG
rnacentral:rRNA from 1 species